rnacentral:rRNA from 1 species
UUGAACGCUGGCGGCAGGCCUAACACAUGCAAGUCGCACGGUAACAGAAAGCAGCUUGCUGCUUUGCUGACGAGUGGCGGACGGGUGAGUAAUGUCUGGGAAACUGCCUGAUGGAGGGGGAUAACUACUGGAAACGGUAGCUAAUACCGCAUAACGUCGCAAGACCAAAGAGGGGGACCUUCGGGCCUCUUGCCAUCGGAUGUGCCCAGAUGGGAUUAGCUAGUAGGUGGGGUAAAGGCUCACCUAGGCGACGAUCCCUAGCUGGUCUGAGAGGAUGACCAGCCACACUGGAACUGAGACACGGUCCAGACUCCUACGGGAGGCAGCAGUGGGGAAUAUUGCACAAUGGGCGCAAGCCUGAUGCAGCCAUGCCGCGUGUAUGAAGAAGGCCUUCGGGUUGUAAAGUACUUUCAGCGGGGAGGAAGGGAGUAAAGUUAAUACCUUUGCUCAUUGACGUUACCCGCAGAAGAAGCACCGGCUAACUCCGUG